rnacentral:rRNA from 1 species
GACGAACGCGGGCGGCGUGCUUAACACAUGCGAGUCGAACGGAAAGGCCCUGCUUUUGUGGGGUGCUCGAGUGGCGAACGGGUGAGUAACACGUGAGUAACCUGCCCUUGACUUUGGGAUAACUUCAGGAAACUGGGGCUAAUACCGGAUAGGAGCUCCUGCUGCAUGGUGGGGGUUGGAAAGUUUCGGCGGUUGGGGAUGGACUCGCGGCUUAUCAGCUUGUUGGUGGGGUAGUGGCUUACCAAGGCUUUGACGGGUAGCCGGCCUGAGAGGGUGACCGGCCACUUUGGGACUGAGAUACGGCCCAGACUCCUACGGGAGGCAGCAGUGGGGAAUAUUGCACAAUGGGCGGAAGCCUGAUGCAGCAACGCCGCGUGCGGGAUGACGGCCUUCGGGUUGUAAACCGCUUUCGCCUGUGACGAAGCGUGAGUGACGGUAAUGGGUAAAGAAGCACCGGCUAACUACGUG